CAGUAGACCGGUUGGUCCACCAGACAUCAGGGAGUGAAGUAGGGGUUCCUGGGGACUUGUGUCUCUCUUUCUUUCUCACUGAUUUACCGUCCCAGGUCACAAACAAUAAUACCGCUAACAACAAAGACCUUCGGACAGUGGAAAAGGCAAUAAUGGAAGCGCUUCAGAAAACUCUGACUUACCGGGUCGAGCAUGCUCCUUACAGAAAGCUACUACCAGACAAGGCUAUCUGUAAUUCAGGGAAACAACAGGACGAAUCCAAAUGCGUGGAAAUAGAUGAUCUUCUUGAUAUGAAAUCGGAAAGCGCAAAAACUGUCAAAGUUACUUUUACUGGUGAAGGAAGCCAGCUGGCAAUAUUUAAAUGUAAAAACGACACCUCCACUGCUGGAAAUGAAAGACCCGACGACCGAGAAAUGAAUGGCAAUGUUGCUAAACCCACAUCCAUGAACUGUAAAUAUAAUAAAGAUUUUUCGCAGGGGGUUAGAGCACAAAAGUUUCUUGAUGACGAUUUCCCUGGCUCUCCUGAAUCAGCUUCAUCCUCUCAAAUCUCCAAUAACGAUGAUGAAUUUGCAGACUGCGCUGACACGCCGCUUCAAAAGCGGGGCAUCAUCUCUGGAACUGAAACAAAAAAUGCACCUAAAACGUCUAAGGCAAAACCCUCGCUGGAUUAUGACAACGAUGAACUGGAAUACACGGAUAUAUUUUUGAAUAGAAAGAAUGAGCAAGAAAACCCUAGCACCCAGCAGUGGGACGAUUACGCAUCAAACGACAAUGAGGAUGAGACCCACUAUAUUUCAACUCAUGAAAUACAGCUGUGUGAGUUAGGGGAUGAUGUUGAUUAUGACUUUGGGCAGAGGUCUUCUUGGGAUUUUGAGGACGACCACUUGGUCAAUUCCUUUGUGGACUAUGCCUCUUUUGACAGUGAUGAAACUGUGGAAGGGACACAGAUAGAGUAUAGUGAUUGUGUAAAUGUGGAAAGCAAGAAUCAGGCUCAAUCUAAUAAUACAGUUCAGCGCACUAGCGGAGCAGCAGUCAGCACUAAGCAUGAAAGCGAUCUAUAUGACACGAACAAAUCCGCUAGCUCAGAUGAAAGUCUGUCAAAGAACCAAAACGGCAGUGAGAAUUCUGCAGGCCAGAUUCACCUGUCAAUCAAAACAACUUCCAGGGCUAUAAAUGAGCCUAGCAACGUCAAAGAAAAGGAAAACAUUGGUUAUGAUGCCAAGUAUGAGAGAGACAUGAGCCGCUAUGUCUUAAAAAGCACUGGUGCUAAAACAGAGAAAAUCAGCGAUCAUGCGAAAUGUUUUAUUGCAGCACCAGGACGUCUGCACUUUGGAAGUAAAUUAAAAGGUAAAAAGGAUACCAAUGAAUACUCCAGUGGCGCAUCGAGUGCUGUCAGUGAGCUGGAUGAUGCUGACAAUGAAGUGCGUAAUUUAACUGCCAGAGCAUUCAGAAGUUUGGCUUGCCCUUAUUUUGACACAAUUAAUUUUAGCACUUCCAGCGACUCUUCUGCAUCUUUAUCAGAACAUGGCCUUGGGAUUAACAAGUGGUCAACUUUUGUUGACCUAAAAUAUGGCAAUCUGACCCAAAGAAGCAAGCAAAACGUGGUUUCCCAUAAGAGCUCUACGUCAACUUUUGAAAUUAACAAGAAUUUGGCUGAAAACAAUAUACAGCAACCUCAGAGUAAAAGCAUAUCUUUAAAUGGAAACAUUGCAAAUAGCAAAAGGAACAUUUCUUCAACAAAUGAAAUACAAGUGAAAGAAGAAACUGAACAAGGGGUAAUAACUUUGAGUGAAACUUUAAAUGUUCGAUGCAAUGUUAAAACGGGUGUCCCUGGAAGCGAAAGGCGUGCAAAUUUUGCAGAAAAUGUGGCAGGAUCGCGUUCUACAGAUGAAGUUACAGACACCUUGCCAAGUGAGCUGGGGGGUGAGAGCAGUAAGCAAACUUGCAAAGCAGGGGAAACCAUGGAAGGUCCGCACAAGAAAGCACAAUUCGCCACAAGCCUUCUCAAAAAUGUCAUCUCUAAGAAAAUGCAGUUUGAACAGGAGCGCAAAAUGGAAAGAGGAGAGAUCUCUGAACCCUCCUUUCCAGGACUGUCUCCCGGUCUGUCUUGUAAAGAGUUCGAAUUCUCUAAAGAAAAGGUAGGUGGCGAAUGCAGGGGUUUUCAAAGGCAAAACUCCAGGUUCUCAGAAGGGAGUUCUGAAUUCACAAUUGUUUCACUGAAUGAUAUAGAAGAUUUUGUGGAAAGCAAACCGUCUGAUGUCAAGGACUCUGAUCAUAAGGAAGACACUUUAACUCAUAUACCAGAAACUAAUUUUGAGUCCUCCUUUGAAGCGGGGUUUGAUACUAAAAAGGGAGUAUCUGAUGCAGCCAAGCGUACGUUACUUCGUAGCCACAAUAGCGCAUUUAGAUCAUGGAGGGACGGUAAGCUAGAAUUUCAAAAGGAAUAUAAAAACGAUGAUAACACCCUUGUGGGGAAAUCGGUUACCUCCACAGAUAAGACGGGACUGCAGCACCAACUGAGCAGCAGCAAAUCAACUAAAAUGUCGCAUCUGUUUGUGCCGAGCAUUCAGCUUGUUUCCAGUGAGAAUGAAAUAGAAAAAAAACAGCCAAACAUCAAAUAUUCAACAAGGGCAUUUACAGAUCUGGGAGAUGGAAGCAACCGUCUGAGCCUUGACACCUUGUAUGCAGCUGAUUCAGACAGAAGCUUGGUAACUUCUAAGUCACCUGAAAUCAAAAUAAGCCUGCGGAGCGUAGAGGAAAACAAACGCAACCCGUUCAACAUUGCUAAGCUGCUAACUCCCAAUAUAGGUUGCAAUGCGGCCAACCUGACAAAAACAGCUGAUGACUUAAAAUGCCAAGCGCUCUCUGUAGCAUUAAAGGGUGAGUCGUCGGAAAAAGUGCCCCAUUUCACGGUCAGAGACAUAAGGGACAACAAAUACAAGCUCCAAACACAGAUUCAUCAAGUCAGGGACGUGCGCAAACUGGUUAAAAGCUCGUAUCACUUCGUUUCUCUGGACAACAACGACCCCAAAGGCUCUGCUUCUAAUCAGAACGCAGAGCAGACAUCUAUCCAGCAGGGCCAUUUCAGAAAACAGGGCUCACUUUCACCUAUAUUAAUAAAGUGUCAGUCAGUAAAUACAAAAGGCAACGUGACACCAUCAAAACGCAGACCAGUUGAGGGUAUUUUGGAGGUAGACAGGUUGUCAACUCCUCCAGCAGAGGGUGCCAAAAAAGGAACCAUACUGGUCUACAGAACAACAGACAGAGCUCCCUUGGUUCCUGCAUCAAAGCAACAGAAAAGCGAACCGUCUGAGGGGUCUGCUGGGGUGAAAACUGAAACCAGGUCAGCUAAACAGAAACCGGAAAUAAUUAUCGAACUCGGUGAAAAGAAACCAGAAUCGAAAAUGGCCAAUCAGGCAGCCUUGGAAAAACUCAGAGCUGCUGUUAAAACCAUGGAACAGUUGUAUGUUUUCGACAGAAAUGAGUGGAAGCGCAAAACUCAACCACAGCCAAUUACCGAUAGUCAUGUGCUGUCACUUAUUGCCAGUGAAGAGGGUCCAGAGGGCAAUCAGGAGCAGUGCGCGGUAAAAACAACAGCAGAACGUGAAGAGAAGAAUGUGACUGUAAGUUUAUCGACAGUAGAAAGAUUGGUAAGGAGAAACUCUUAUCCAACUGCUGAAAAGUCAAGUCAGACUGCAGUUGCAGGGUCAGUGUUCGAUUUUUUGAGGAAGAAAGAUGUCAAAGAGAACCUGAAAAUGUUUCACAUUCCCCUUAACAAAGAGGACAAAGAAGUGCCCAAAUCUCUUUCUCAGCAAAGUGGAGCCUUAACCAACAAAAAUGUUUUCACUUUUACUAACAACCAGAAAACUUCUUCCAGGGACAGCAGUAUCAAUGUCAUCAAUAAGCUGCCUCAGACCUAUACUUCUUCACAACCACCUUUCACUACAAAAAGCGUUGUUCCCAAAUCUCCUAAACUCCCCAUGUCCUUUAAAAUAUCACAAGGCAAAGCUGUACCUGCCAAAAUGGAGAAAGGUAUCAGUGAAGCAGAAAAAACGCAGACUUAUUCAACCUUUACAGAAGAUUCAGAAAACUACCUUACAAUACCAGUUAAACCUCAAACUAGCGAAGCCAAACCUACCACAACCAGUCAAGAGCAAAAUGUUGUGUACACCGUUACAGCCACAGGAGCCAAACCCCAGACCACCAGUACUUUGAACUAUUUCAACCCAGCUGAUUCUAGAAGACAAGAAGACAGCAGCCAGUCCCCCAAAAGAUCUUCCAUUGUUAUGGAGACACGGUCCCCAGUUACCCCUACUGCCACCAUCUACCAUCACUCCCUGCCAAUGUCAAUGUCUGGUACACAGCCUCAGGUGAUUUGCUUUUCAUCAUCUGUGGCGCCACCUAUAGACCAGUUCCAGCAGACACAAAGGAAGAUGCUGUUGGAUCCCACAACUGGACAAUAUUACCUUGUAGAUACCCCCAUCCAACCUGCUACAAAGAGGCUUUUUGAUCCUGAAACAGGGCAGUAUGUAGAUAUCCCUAUGCCCCAGCAGCCAAUGGCCCCGGUGCCCAUGCCCAUCUCACCAUUAGCAUUAAGUUCUGGAGCUUAUGGUGCCACAUACAUGCUAUACCCAGGUUUUUUUCCCACAACCGCUGUGUUGCCCACCAGGACUUUGCAGACACAGUUGUCAUCUCAUUCAGAGGCAGAUGGCAUGGAUAAAAUGAACAGCAGAGAAGUGGCACAUUUGGGACAACAAGGAGAUGUAGCUUACAUGGAAAGCCCCUACUACAUCCCCACUGGGAAAUCUACACAGGCACCAUCUACCAGUCAACACAUAACAAGCGGGGGGUCAAAAGCAUUCUCUGAUGGAAAACCCGUGAUUAGUAUGGUGUCACAGCAAGGUCCAAGAAUAAUCGCCCCACCUUCCUUUGACGGAACUACCAUGCGUUUUGUUGUGGAGCACAGGUAAAUCACUUGAGAGCGACAUAUGUACAUGAAAUUGGCAAAGACAAAUUGGUUAUGCUGAAGUUGGAUUUACCCUGUUCCUGUUGGCCAACCCCCCUGCACCUUAUUAUUAGUGAUCACAACCGUAGUAUCAAUGGUUUUCUGCUUUAAUGGAGCAAGUUAUGAAGAACCACCCCCUUUCGAUUAUGAAGACGGCUUGGCACGGUCAGAGAGAUUUAAAACAAUGCCUUUAAUUACAUCACUGCUGCCAACAGAAUGUUAUGUGCUUAAUCAGAUUUAUUUAUUUAUCUAAAUACCCCUCAAUUUGUUUUGAUUUAUUUUUUGUUAAUAUUUGCAGCAUGCAGACAUAUUUGAAACUGUGCAUUGUGACUACUGCUUAUCUGCUAAUUAUAUCACCUUGUUCUGCCUUUAAGUAUUAAGGAGAACCCUGAUCAUUUUGUGUAUGAAUAAUCAGAAAUAUGUUUAAAAGAGAAUCUCAGCUUUCAGUUGACUUGGCAACAUUUUGUACCAUUCAGACUUACCAAACCAACCUGUUUCUUUUCUUUUCUUUUUUUCUUAAAUCAUAAAACGUCAUUCAUAACUUAAACAUAAUUUAA